UGGGGAAUUUUGGACAAUGGGCGAAAGCCUGAUCCAGCCAUGCCGCGUGAGUGAAGAAGGCCUUCGGGUUGUAAAGCUCUUUUAGUCGGAAAGAAAGAGUUGCAAUGAAUAAUUGUGAUUUAUGACGGUACCGACAGAAAAAGCACCGGCUAACUACGUGCCAGCAGCCGCGGUAAUAUGUAGGGUGCGAGCGUUAAUCGGAAUUACUGGGCGUAAAGGGUGCGCAGGCGGUCUUGCAAGUCAGAUGUGAAAGCCCCGGGCUUAACCUGGGAAUUGCGUUUGAAACUACAAGGCUAGAGUGCAGCAGAGGGGAGUGGAAUUCCAUGUGUAGCAGUGAAAUGCGUAGAGAUGUGGAAGAACACCGAUGGCGAAGGCAGCUCCCUGGGUUGACACUGACGCUCAUGCACGAAAGCGUGGGGAGCAAACA
rnacentral:rRNA from 1 species